GAUGAACGCUGGCGGCGUGCCUAAUACAUGCAAGUCGAGCGAACAGACGAUGCUCUUGCUCCUCUGACGUUUGCGGCGGACGGGUGAGUAACACGUGGAUAACCUCCCUAUAAUACUGGGAUCACUUCGGGACACCGGCGCUAAUACCGGAUAAUAUAUUGAACCGCAUGGUUCAUUAGUGAAUGACGGUUUUUCUGUCACUUCUAGAUGGUUCCGCGCCGCAUUAGCUAGUUGGUAAGGUAACGGCUUACCAAGGCAACGAUGCGUAGCCGACCUGAGAGGGUGGUCGGCGACACUGGAGCGGGGACGCGGACAAGACGCCUAAGGGAGGCAGCAGAAGGGAAUCUGCCGCAAUGGGCGAAAGCAUGACGGAACAACGCCGAGUGAGUGAUGAAGGUCUUCGGAGCGUAAAAAUCUGUUAUUAGGGAAGAACAAAUGUGGAAGGAGCUAUGCACGUAGUGACGGUACCUAAUAAGAAAGCCACGGCUAACUACGUG
rnacentral:rRNA from 1 species